GACGAACGCUGGCGGCGUGCUUAACACAUGCCAGUCGAGCGGAAAGGCCCUUCGGGGUACUCGAGCGGCGAACGGGUGAGUAACACGUGAGUAACCUGCCCCAGACUUUGGGAUAACCCUCGGAAACGGGGGCUAAUACCGGAUACGACACAGCUUCGCAUGGGGUCUGUGUGGAAAGUUUUUCGGUUUGGGAUGGGCUCGCGGCCUAUCAGCUUGUUGGUGGGGUGAUGGCCUACCAAGGCGACGACGGGUAGCCGGCCUGAGAGGGCGACCGGCCACACUGGGACUGAGACACGGCCCAGACUCCUACGGGAGGCAGCAGUGGGGAAUAUUGCACAAUGGGCGGAAGCCUGAUGCAGCGACGCCGCGUGAGGGAUGACGGCCUUCGGGUUGUAAACCUCUUUCAGCAGGGACGAAGCGUAAGUGACGGUACCUGCAGAAGAAGCGCCGGCCAACUACGU
rnacentral:rRNA from 1 species